UGGGGAAUUUUGGACAAUGGGCGAAAGCCUGAUCCAGCAAUGCCGCGUGUGUGAAGAAGGCCUUCGGGUUGUAAAGCACUUUUGUCCGGAAAGAAAUCCUCUGGGUUAAUACCUCGGGGGGAUGACGGUACCGGAAGAAUAAGCACCGGCUAACUACGUGCCAGCAGCCGCGGUAAUACGUAGGGUGCAAGCGUUAAUCGGAAUUACUGGGCGUAAAGCGUGCGCAGGCGGUUUUGUAAGACGGAUGUGUAAUCCCCGGGCUUAACCUGGGAACUGCAUUCGUGACUGCAAGGCUAGAGUAUGGCAGAGGGGGGUAGAAUUCCACGUGUAGCAGUGAAAUGCGUAGAGAUGUGGAGGAAUACCGAUGGCGAAGGCAGCCCCCUGGCCCAAUACUGACGCUCAUGCACG
rnacentral:rRNA from 1 species